UAGGGAAUCUUCGGCAAUGGACGAAAGUCUGACCGAGCAACGCCGCGUGAGUGAAGAAGGUUUUCGGAUCGUAAAACUCUGUUGUUAGAGAAGAACAAGGACGUUAGUAACUGAACGUCCCCUGACGGUAUCUAACCAGAAAGCCACGGCUAACUACGUGCCAGCAGCCGCGGUAAUACGUAGGUGGCAAGCGUUGUCCGGAUUUAUUGGGCGUAGAGCGAGCGCAGGCGGUUUCUUAAGUCUGAUGUGAAAGCCCCCGGCUCAACCGGGGAGGGUCAUUGGAAACUGGGAGACUUGAGUGCAGAAGAGGAGAGUGGAAUUCCAUGUGUAGCGGUGAAAUGCGUAGAUAUAUGGAGGAACACCAGUGGCGAAGGCGGCUCUCUGGUCUGUAACUGACGCUGAGGCUCGAAAGCGUGGGGAGCAAACAGGAUUAGAUACCCUGGUAGUCCACGCCGUAAACGAUGAGUGCUAAGUGUUGGAGGGUUUCCGCCCUUCAGUGCUGCAGCAAACGCAUUAAGCACUCCGCCUGGGGAGUACGACCGCAAGGUUG
rnacentral:rRNA from 1 species